UGAUUGUCCGAACGCAAUUCUUG
rnacentral:miRNA from 3 species